CCUACGGGGGGCAGCAGUGGGGAAUAUUGCACAAUGGGCGAAAGCCUGAUGCAGCAACGCCGCGUGAGUGAUGAAGGCCUUCGGGUCGUAAAACUCUGUCCUCAAGGAAGAUAAUGACGGUACUUGAGGAGGAAGCCCCGGCUAACUACGUGCCAGCAGCCGCGGUAAUACGUAGGGGGCUAGCGUUAUCCGGAUUUACUGGGCGUAAAGGGUGCGUAGGCGGUCUUUCAAGUCAGGAGUGAAAGGCUACGGCUCAACCGUAGUAAGCUCUUGAAACUGGGAGACUUGAGUGCAGGAGAGGAGAG
rnacentral:rRNA from 1 species